rnacentral:rRNA from 1 species
CGUAGGGUGCGAGCGUUAAUCGGAAUUACUGGGCGUAAAGCGUGCGCAGGCGGUUUUGUAAGCCAGAUGUGAAAUCCCCGGGCUCAACCUGGGAAUGGCAUUUGGGACUGCAAGGCUUGAGUGCGGCAGAGGAGACUGGAAUUCCUGGUGUAGCAGUGAACUGCGUAGAUAUCAGGAGGAAUACCGAUGGCGAAGGCAGGUCUCUGGGCUGACACUGACGCUCAUGCACGAAAGCGUGGGGAGCAAACAGGAUUAGAUACCCUGGUAGUCCACGCCCUAAACGAUGUCGACUGGUUGUUGGGGGUUUGACACUCUCAGUAACGAAGCUAACGCGUGAAGUCGACCGCCUGGGGAGUACGGCCGCAAGGUUA